rnacentral:lncRNA from 1 species
AUAGGGAAGCAUAAGCCUAAAUAGGGUUAACCGCUUUUAUCGGGACUUAAAACAUUACCAAAAAUACGUAAUUUUUUAAAUCUAACCGUAUUUAGCUAUACCGAUCACAUCAUAUUUCACAAUAUUGAAAAAUUGAAGUGAUGCAGAGGAUAUAAAGAUGAUUUCACUUAAGCGAUAGAAAUAUUUCGUCACUAAAGUCAAAAAAUUGUGUCGCUUUAGUUUAAAACUAAGACGACGGACGAAAAGUUAAUUUGUCAGUUAGGUGAAGGAUAUCAUGCAACAAACAUUUUCAUCGCUUAAGUGUUAACAUUUUCAUCGCUACAUAAAUCUUCUGCGACAAAAUCCGUGUUGUCGCCUUAGAGGGACCUAUGGUGACGAAAUUUAGGCGACAAAAACAUUUUGCCGCCCCAGAAAAUUGUAGCGACGAAAUAUGUAUCUCCGGCGACGAUAUUUAUUUUCGUCGUUUAGGAUUUGCUUAAGCGAAGGGACGAAAUGUAAAAGUGCCCGUCACUUGAGCCUUUUUUUCUACUAGUGUUCCGCUGUCAUCUGUAAAAAGACAAGAAGAUAGUGGUACAUAGAAAAAAGGAAAAUACCCAUUUGCACAUAAACAUGGAUUUUAAAGCCUAUUUCAAUAAAAAUAAGACUUCAUAGCUCAUUCCAAUAAAAACUAAACAAAAGGAUGACCUUACCCUCGCUACAAUUCAACUAAACCUCUCUCCUUGUUUCACAUCCCGAUCUAAAUUCUCUCUCUCUCUCUCNNNNNNNNNNNNNNNNNNNNCUACCUACUACCUACUACUACUCUCUCUCUCUCUCUCUCUCUCUCUCUCUCUCUCUCUCUCUCUCUCUCUCUCAUCGUCAGCGAUGAUGUCAACGACCAUCACCAAUCGGAUCCGGAUUCCUAGGGUCCGUUUUCAAGAGCUGAUCUGGUUGUGCUACCUCGCUCCUCGCCGCGGUUUCGAAAUCCGACUUCGAUAGGAUCCGAUUGAGAGAAGGGAGACGAAGGGACGUUAUGGUCUGAGGUGCUAGUGGUUCAACUCAAUGCGCGGGCUGCCAGACAUUUUCACCGUCGUUUGAGGUUCUAGUCAUUGCAUGUUUGUCGACGAGAGAAGCUCGAACAACGUCGCCGGAGCUAAUCCUUUGCGAGAUCCGGCCUCGUAAUCAUUUCGAAUUCCAAGCUUCGACUAGUACUAGCCUCACCGACUGGAAGGGCCGGUGGAGACUCUUGCAUCUAUUGUCCCACCCUUCCAUCGACGUCAGAGAAGAAAUCGACCGGAAAUUCGAAAAUUUCUAAGUUGCAGAGAUUUCGGUCGAGUUCUUCAAGGGGUAAUAAAGUUCUACUAGGGGUAAUAAAUCUAGGGAAGUUUAUUGCCCCCUAGUAAAAUUUCAAUGGAAGUUUAUUGCCCUCAAACAAAACAUUUUUCAUCAUUACUGCCUCUCAAUAAGUUUUUAUUGACCUCAAUAGAAGUUUAUUACCCCCAAUAAAACCUCAGUAGAAGUUUAUUGCCCCCCAGUGAAAUCUCAGUAGAAGUUUAUUGUCCCUCCCCCCUAGCAAAACAUUUUUCAUCAAUACUGCCCCUCAAUAAGGUUCUAGUGACCUCAGUAGAAGUUUAUUGCCCCCCAGUAAAACAUUUUUCAUCAUUACUGCCCUCAAUUAAACUUCAGCGAUGGUGUGGUAUGCUUUCGGCAAGAUUUGGUAGAUUCCGGUGACGUUAAAAAAAAUCCUGCGAGAUUCCAGCGACCAGCGAGAUUUCGGACAUCGGUGAGGUUUUGGCCAAAUCUUCUCUCUCUCUCUCUNNNNN